AACGAACGCUGGCGGCAGGCUUAACACAUGCAAGUCGAGCGAGACCUUCGGGUCUAGCGGCGGACGGGUGAGUAACGCGUGGGAACGUGCCCUUCUCUACGGAAUAGCCCCGGGAAACUGGGAGUAAUACCGUAUACGUCCUUUGGGGGAAAGAUUUAUCGGAGAAGGAUCGGCCCGCGUUGGAUUAGGUAGUUGGUGGGGUAAUGGCCCACCAAGCCGACGAUCCAUAGCUGGUUUGAGAGGAUGAUCAGCCACACUGGGACUGAGACACGGCCCAGACUCCUACGGGAAGCAGCAGUGGGGAAUCUUAGACAAUGGGGGCAACCCUGAUCUAGCCAUGCCGCGUGAGUGAUGAAGGCCUUAGGGUUGUAAAGCUCUUUCAGCUGGGAAGAUAAUGACGGUACCAGCAGAAGAAGCCCCGGCUAACUCCGUG
rnacentral:rRNA from 1 species